rnacentral:rRNA from 1 species
UACGAAGGGGGCUAGCGUUGCUCGGAAUUACUGGGCGUAAAGGGCGCGUAGGCGGACAGUUUAGUCAGAGGUGAAAAGCCCAGGGCUCAACCUUGGAAUUGCCUUUGAUACUGGCUGUCUUGAGUUCGGGAGAGGUGAGUGGAAUGCCGAGUGUAGAGGUGAAAUUCGUAGAUAUUCGGCGGAACACCAGUGGCGAAGGCGACUCACCGGCCGAUACUGACGCUGAGGCGCGAAAGCGUGGGGAGCAAACAGGG